rnacentral:rRNA from 1 species
GACAGAGGGUGCAAACGUUGCUCGGAAUCACUGGGCGUAAAGGGCGUGUAGGCGGGACGGUAAGUCGGGGCGUGAAAUCCCUAGGCUCAACCUAGGAACUGCACUCGAAACUACCAUUCUUGAGUGUCGGAGAGGAAAGCGGAAUUCCUGGUGUAGCGGUGAAAUGCGCAGAUAUCAGGAGGAACACCGGUGGCGAAGGCGGGUCUCUGGGCCGAGUGACUGACGCUGGAGGAGCGAAAGCGUGGGGAGCAAACAGG